rnacentral:rRNA from 1 species
AGAGUGAACGCUGGCGGUAGGCCUGACACAUGCAAGUCGAACGGCAGCACAGUAGGAGCUUGCUCUUACGGGUGGCGAGUGGCGGACGGGUGAGGAAUACAUCGGAAUCUACCUUUUGGUGGGGGGAUAACGUAGGGAAACUUACGCUAAUACCGCAUACGCCCUUCGGGGGAAAGCCGGGGACCAGCAAUGGCCUGGUGCUGAUAGAUGAGCCGAUGUCGGAUUAGCUAGUUGGUGAGGUAAUGGCUCACCAAGGCGACGAUCCGUAGCUGGUCUGAGAGGAUGAUCAGCCACACUGGAACUGAGACACGGUCCAGACUCCUACGGGAGGCAGCAGUGGGAAUAGUUGGACAAUGGGACGCAAGCCUGAUCCAGCCCAUACCGCGUGGUGAAGAAGGCCUUCGGUUGUAAAGCCCUUUUGUCGGAAAGAAAAGCAUUACGGUUAAUACCCGGUGUUCUGACGGUACCAAAGAAUAAGACUACCGGACUAACGUUCGACCG